rnacentral:rRNA from 1 species
GACGAACGCUGGCGGCGUGCUUAACACAUGCAAGUCGAACGGAAAGGCCCUGCUUUUGUGGGGUGCUCGCGUGGCGAACGGGUGAGUAACACGUGAGUAACCUUCCCUUGACUUUGGGAUAACUUCAGGAAACUGGGGCUAAUACCGGCUAGGAGCUCCUGCUGCAUGGUGGGGGUUGGAAAGUUUCGGCGGUGGGGGAUGGACUCGCGGCUUAUCAGCUUGUUGGUGGGGUAGUGGCUUACCAAGGCUUUGACGGGUAGCCGGCCUGAGAGGGUGAACGGCGACAUUGGGACUGAGAUACGGCCCAGACUCCUACGGGAGGCAGCAGUGGGGAAUAUUGCACAAUGGGCGGAAGCCUGAUGCAGCAACGCCGCGUGCGGGAUGACGGCCUUCGGGUUGUAAACCGCUUUCGCCUGUGACGAAGCGGGAGUGACGGUAAUGGGUAAAGAAGCACCGGCUAACUACGUG